AAUAGAUACCCUGGUAGUCCACGCCGUAAACGAUGGAUGCUAGCUAUUAGGGGAAUCGACCCCUCCGAAGCGAAGCUAACGCGUUAAGCAUCCCGCCUGAGUAGUACGAGCGCAAGCUUAAAACUCAAAGGAAUUGACGGGGACCCGCACAAGCGGUGGAGCGUGUGGUUUAAUUCGAUGGUAAACGAAGAACCUUACCAAGGUUUGACAUCCCGGUAGCCGUUCUCCGAAAGGAGAAUUUCAUUUAGUUGGACCGGUGACAGGUGAUGCAUGGCCGUCGUCAGCUCGUGUCGUGAGAUGUUGGGUUAAGUCCCGCAACGAGCGCAACCCUUAUGAUUUAGUUGGAUUUUUCUAAACAGACUGCCCUGGUAACAGGGAGGAAGGAGGGGAUGAUGUCAGGUCAGUAUUUCCCUUACACCUUGGGGCGACACACGCGCUACAAUGGCCGGCACAAUGGGCAGCUAAGCCGCGAGGUGGAGCAAAUCCCAUCAAAGCCGGUCCCAGUUCGGAUUGCAGGCUGAAACCCGCCUGCAUGAAGCCGGAAUCGCUAGUAACC
rnacentral:rRNA from 1 species